AGAAAACUUGGUUCUAGUUUCCUUUUUAUCUCUUCCCUGUCUGCCACAUGCAAGAAAAAAACAUCCCAGCGGACAAAUCCUUGUAUUAAAACAAUAGGAGGUCUAGCAUAAGCUAAACAACAGAAGCCAAAAAUACCCGCGGUCAGCAGUGCUUAACAUUAUACAAUUUAAGAAAUUAAGAUAUAGACAAGGAAAACAGAAGAGGCCCAUACCGUGCCAGCAGCCGCGGUUAUACGUUAUCUUCCAGCUAAAAAGACCCGGUCUAAAGAAGGGAAAGCUUUAAGACUAUCUAAAAAGGCUAAACCAACAGUAAUAAGUUAAAAUAAACCCUAAGUAGUAGAGAAGCCCACCCAGUAAGAAAAAAGAUAAACUAGGAUUAGAUACCCUACUAUAUUUUUCCAACAAUAAAAACCACCAGAGCAGUACGGCUAAGCUAAAACUUAAAGAACUUGGCGGUUUUCUAGUCCUUCUUGGAGGAGCUUGUCAUCAAAUUGAUAACCCACAAGAUACCUUACCUACCCAAGAAAAACCAGCUUGUAUACCAUCGUCGUCAGCUCACCUUAAAUAAAGAGUGAGCAAAAUGAGAUAUUCUCUAAACGUCAGAUCAAGGUGCAGUCAAUGGGUAGGGGAUAGAUGAGCUACCACAUUUAGAGAACAGAGGAAGCAAAAAUGAAAAAUUUUGCCAAAAACGGAUUCAACAGUAACGAAAUAAAUAAAAAUUUUGUAAAGCGAGCUCUAGAAUGCGCACACAUCGCCCGUCACUCUCCUCGUUAGAGGAGAAAAGUCGUAACAUAGUAGGUGUACCGGAAGGUGUACCUGGGACAA
rnacentral:ncRNA from 1 species